rnacentral:rRNA from 1 species
ACUCCUACGGGAGGCAGCAGUGGGGAAUAUUGCACAAUGGGGGAAACCCGUAGAUGCAGCCAUGCCGCGUGUGUGAAGAAGGCCUUCGGGUUGUAAAGCACUUUCAGUAGGGAGGAAGGUAGUGUAGUUAACACCUGCAUUAUUUGACGUUACCUACAGAAGAAGCACCGGCUAACUCCGUGCCAGCAGCCGCGGUAAUACGGAGGGUGCAAGCGUUAAUCGGAAUUACUGGGCGUAAAGCGUGCGCAGGCGGUCUGUUAAGCGAGAUGUGAAAGCCCCGGGCUCAACCUGGGAACUGCAUUUCGAACUGGCAGACUAGAGUCUUGUAGAGGGGGGUAGAAUUCCAGGUGGUAGCGGUGAAAUGCGUAGAGAUCUGGAGGAAUACCGGUGGCGAAGGCGGCCCCCUGGCA